rnacentral:rRNA from 1 species
UACGUAGGCAGCAAGCGUUGUUCGGAGUUACUGGGCGUAAAGGGCGCGUAGGCGGUUGUUUAAGUUUGGUGUGAAAUCUCCCGGCUCAACCGGGAGGGUGCGCCGAAUACUGAAUGACUAGAGUGCGGGAGAGGAGAGUGGAAUUCCUGGUGUAGCGGUGAAAUGCGUAGAUAUCAGGAGGAACACCGGUGGUGUAGACGGCUUUCUGGACCGUAACUGACGCUGAGACACGAAAGCGUGGGUAGCAAACAGG